AUUGAACGCUGGCGGCAUGCUUUACACAUGCAAGUCGGACGGCAGCGCGGGCUUCGGCCUGGCGGCGAGUGGCGGACGGGUGAGUAAUGCAUCGGAACGUGCCCAGUAGUGGGGGAUAGCCCGGCGACAGCCGGAUUAAUACCGCAUACGCCCUGAGGGUGAACGCGGGGGACCGAAAGGCCUCGCGCUCUUGGACCGGCCGAUGUCGGAUUAGCUAGUUGGUGGGGUAAAGGCUUACCAAGGCGACGAUCCGUAGCUGGUCUGAGAGGACGACCAGCCACACUGGGACUGAGACACGGCCCAGACUCCUACGGGAGGCAGCAGUGGGGAAUUUUGGACAAUGGGGGCAACCCUGAUCCAGCCAUGCCGCGUGCGGGAAGAAGGCCUUCGGGUUGUAAACCGCUUUUGUUCGGGAAGAAAAGCUCUGGGCUAAUACCCCGGGGGGAUGACGGUACCGGAAGAAUAAGCACCGGCUAACUACGUG
rnacentral:rRNA from 1 species